UACGGAGGGGCGAGCGUUGUUCGGAGUGACUGGGCGUAAAGAGCACGUAGGCGGUGUUGUAAGUCAUUAGUCAAGACUAGAGCUCAACUUUAGUAAGGCUAGUGAUACUAUAAUACUGAGAGUAUCAGAGAGGAUUGCAGAAUUCCUGGAUGUAGCGGUGAAAUGCGUAGAUAUCAGGAGGAAUACCGUUAGCGAAGGCGGCAAUCUGGGCGUG
rnacentral:rRNA from 1 species